AACAGAGGUCCCGAGCGUUAGGCGGAAUCACUGGGCUUAAAGCGUGUGUAGGCGGAUCGUUAAGUGCCUUGUGAAAUCCCAUGGCUUAACCAUGGAACUGCUUGGCAUACUGGCGGUCUUGAGCCACUUAGGGGCAACCGGAACAAAUGGUGGAGCGGUGAAAUGCGUAGAUAUCAUUUGGAACGCCAAUGGUGAAAACAGGUUGCUGGGAGUGUGCUGACGCUGAGACACGAAAGCCAGGGGAGCGAACGGG
rnacentral:rRNA from 1 species